CCUACGGGUGGCAGCAGUGGGGAAUAUUGGACAAUGGGGGGAACCCUGAUCCAGCCAUGCCGCGUGUGUGAAGAAGGCCCUCGGGUUGUAAAGCACUUUCAGUGAGGAAGAACGCCUGGUGGUUAAUACCCAUCAGGAAAGACAUCACUCACAGAAGAAGCACCGACUAACUCCGUGCCAGCAGCCGCGGUAAUACGGAGGGUGCGAGCGUUAAUCGGAAUUACUGGGCGUAAAGCGCGCGUAGGUGGCUUGAUAAGCCGGUUGUGAAAGCCCCGGGCUCAACCUGGGAACGGCAUCCGGAACUGUCAAGCUAGAGUGCAGGAGAGGAAGGUAGAAUUCCCGGUGUAGCGGUGAAAUGCGUAGAGAUCGGGAGGAAUACCAGUGGCGAAGGCGGCCUUCUGGACUGACACUGACACUGAGGUGCGAAAGCGUGGGUAGCAAACAGGAUUAGAUACCCUAGUAGUC
rnacentral:rRNA from 1 species